rnacentral:rRNA from 1 species
AGCGAACGCUGGCGGCAGGCUUAACACAUGCAAGUCGAACGCCCCGCAAGGGGAGUGGCAGACGGGUGAGUAACGCGUGGGAAUCUACCCAGCUCUACGGAACAACUCCGGGAAACUGGAGCUAAUACCGUAUACGUCCUUCGGGAGAAAGAUUUAUCGGAGUUGGAUGAGCCCGCGUUGGAUUAGCUAGUUGGUGGGGUAAUGGCCUACCAAGGCGACGAUCCAUAGCUGGUCUGAGAGGAUGAUCAGCCACACUGGGACUGAGACACGGCCCAGACUCCUACGGGAGGCAGCAGUGGGGAAUAUUGGACAAUGGGCGAAAGCCUGAUCCAGCCAUGCCGCGUGAGUGAUGAAGGCCCUAGGGUUGUAAAGCUCUUUCACCGGUGAAGAUAAUGACGGUAACCGGAGAAGAAGCCCCGGCUAACUUCGUGCCAGCAGCCGCCGCCG